rnacentral:rRNA from 1 species
UACGGAGGAUCCGAGCGUUAUCCGGAUUUAUUGGGUUUAAAGGGUGCGUAGGCGGAAUAAUAAGUCAGUUGUGAAAGUUUGCGGCUCAACCGUAAAAUUGCAGUUGAUACUGUUAUUCUUGAGUGUACAUAAGGUAGGCGGAAUUCGUGGUGUAGCGGUGAAAUGCUUAGAUAUCACGAAGAACUCCAAUUGCGAAGGCAGCUUACCGGGGUACAACUGACGCUGAGGCACGAAAGUGUGGGUAUCAAACAGGAUUAGAUACCCUGGUAGUCCACACAGUAAACGAUGAAUACUCGCUGUUUGCGAUAUACCGCAAGCGGCCAAGCGAAAGCAUUAAGUAUUCCACCUGGGGAGUACGCCGGCAACGGUGAAACUCAAAGGAAUUGACGGGGGCCCGCACAAGCGGAGGAACAUGUGGUUUAAUUCGAUGAUACGCGAGGAACCUUACCCAGGCUUAAAUUGCAGAUGAAUAUAGUAGAAAUAUUAUAGCCUUCGGGCAUCUGUGAAGGUGCUGCAUGGUUGUCGUCAGCUCGUGCCGUGAGGUGUCGGCUUAAGUGCCAUAACGAGCGCAACCCUUAUUGAUAGUUACUAACAGGUUAAGCUGAGGACUCUAUCGAGACUGCCGUCGUAAGAUGCGAGGAAGGUGGGGAUGACGUCAAAUCAGCACGGCCCUUACGUCUGGGGCUACACACGUGUUACAAUGGGGGGUACAGAAGGUCGCUACCUGGCAACAGGAUGCUAAUCCCAAAAGCCUCUCUCAGUUCGGAUUGGAGUCUGCAACCCGACUCCAUGAAGCUGGAUUCGCUAGUAAUCGCGCAUCAGCCACGGCGCGGUGAAUACGUUCCCGGGCCUUGUACACACCGCCCGUCAAGCCAUGGGAGCCGGGGGUACCUGAAGUGCGUAACCGCAAGGAGCGCCCUAGGGUAAAACUGGUGACUGGGGCU